rnacentral:lncRNA from 1 species
UACAAAGAGUGUCUGUGUAAGAGAGUGAGGCAGAGAAACAGACAGGCGGGUGGACAGACAUACAGACAUACAGACAGGCGGCGGACAGACAUACAGACAGGCGGCGGACAGACAUACAGACAGGCGGGUGGACAGACAUACAGACAUACAGACAGGCGGCGGACAGACAUACAGACAGGCGGCGGACAGACAUACAGACAGGCGGGUGGACAGACAUACAGACAGGCGGCGGACAGACAUACAGACAGGCGGGUGGACAGACAUACAGACAUACAGACAGGCGGGUGGACAGACAUACAGACAUACAGACAGGCGGCGGACAGACAUACAGACAGGCGGCGGACAGACAUACAGACAGGCGGGUGGACAGACAUACAGACAUACAGACAGGCGGGUGGACAGACAUACAGACAUACAGACAGGCGGGUGGACAGACAUACAGACAUACAGACAGGCGGCGGACAGACAUACAGACAGGCGGCGGACAGACAUACAGACAGGCGGGUGGACAGACAUACAGACAUACAGACAGGCGGGUGGACAGACAUACAGACAUACAGACAGGCGGGUGGACAGACAUACAGACAUACAGACAGACGCCUGUCUGUAUGUCUGUCCGCCGCCUGUCUGUGUAGUCAUCAGUAUUAUACUGUUAGAGAGAGACAGAGACAGAGAGAGACAGAGAGAGACAGAGACAGAGAGAGACAGAGACAGAGAGAGACAGAGACAGGUAAUAGACUGCAGGGAUUAUCACACUGCUGCCACCAGUGUAGUAAUUUAGACAGACAGACAGACGGAUGGACGGACGGACGGGCGGGCGGGCGGACAGACAGACAUACAUGCAGAAGGACAGAUAUACAGACAGACAUACAGACAGGUGGGCAGACAGAGAGGCAGAUAGACAGACGGACAGACGGACAGAUGGACAGAAAAAGAGAGAGGGGGGGGAAGUGUGUGUGUGUGUGUGUGUGUGUGUGUGUGUGUGUGUGUGUGUGUGUUAGAUUGACUGUCUGUCUCCUUGGGGUCAAGUAA